UACGUAGGGCGCAAGCGUUGUCCGGAAUUAUUGGGCGUAAAGAGCUCGUAGGCGGCCAGUUGCGUCUGCUGUGAAAUCCCGGGGCUCAACCCCGGGCGUGCAGUGGAUACGGGCAAACUGGAGUACUGCAGGGGAGACUGGAAUUCCUGGUGUAGCGGUGAAAUGCGCAGAUAUCAGGAGGAACACCGGUGGCGAAGGCGGGUCUCUGGGCAGUAACUGACGCUGAGGAGCGAAAGCGUGGGGAGCGAACAGG
rnacentral:rRNA from 1 species